GUCGAGCGGUAACAGAGAUAGCUUGCUAUCUGCUGACGAGCGGCGGACGGGUGAGUAAUGCUUGGGAAUAUGCCUUUGAGUGGGGGACAACAGUUGGAAACGACUGCUAAUACCGCAUAACGUCUACGGACCAAAGGGGGGGAUGCUUCGGCACCUCUCGCUCAUUGAUUAGCCCAAGUGAGAUUAGCUAGUUGGUAAGGUAAUGGCUUACCAAGGCGACGAUCUCUAGCUGGUUUGAGAGGAUGAUCAGCCACACUGGGACUGAGACACGGCCCAGACUCCUACGGGAGGCAGCAGUGGGGAAUAUUGCACAAUGGGCGAAAGCCUGAUGCAGCCAUGCCGCGUGUGUGAAGAAGGCCUUCGGGUUGUAAAGCACUUUCAGCGAGGAGGAAAGGUUAGUAGUUAAUAGCUGCUAGCUGUGACGUUACUCGCAGAAGAAGCACCGGCUAACUUCGUGCCAGCAGCCGCGGUAAUACGAGGGGUGCAAGCGUUAAUCGGAAUUACUGGGCGUAAAGCGUGCG
rnacentral:rRNA from 1 species